rnacentral:rRNA from 1 species
CCUACGGGUGACUGCAGUGGGGAAUAUUGCACAAUGGGGGAAACCCUGAUGCAGCGACGCCGCGUGAGUGAUGAAGUACUUCGGUAUGUAAAGCUCUAUCAGCAGGGAAGAAAAUGACGGUAACUGACUAAGAAGCCCCGGCCAACUACGUGCCAGCAGCCGCGGUAAUACGUAGGGGGCAAGCGUUAUCCGGAUUUACUGGGUGUAAAGGGAGCGUAGACGGCGGGGCAAGCCAGGGGUGAAAGCCCGGGGCGCAACCCCGGGACUGCAUUGGGAACUGUGCGGCUGGAGUGUCGGAGGGGCAGGCGGAAUUCCUAGUGUAGCGGUGAAAUGCGUAGAUAUUAGGAGGAACACCGGGGGCGAAGGCGGCCUGCUGGACGGUGACGGACGUUGAGGCUCGAAAGCGUGGGGAGCAAACAGGAUUAGAUACCCCUGUAGUC